rnacentral:misc_RNA from 1 species
UACGGAGGGUGCGAGCGUUAAUCGGAAUUACUGGGCGUAAAGCGCGCGUAGGCGGCCUGUUAAGCUGGAUGUGAAAGCCCUGGGCUUAACCUGGGAAUUGCAUCCAGAACUGGCAGGCUAGAGUACGGUAGAGGUGAGUGGAAUUUCCUGUGUAGCGGUGAAAUGCGUAGAUAUAGGAAGGAACACCAGUGGCGAAGGCGGCCCACUGGACUGAUACUGACGCUGAGGUGCGAAAGCGUGGGGAGCAAACAGG